rnacentral:lncRNA from 1 species
AGCUACCCUUACCUCUCGUGUGGCACAAACCCUGUCAGUCACACACACACACACACACACACACACACACACGCACACAGAGUGGUCCACACUCUCAGACCCUCGCUCUUCACACCCAUACCCGUACAGCCAAACAGGCACAGGGAGCGCCAGACUUGGCUCAAGAUUCCUCCCCAUCACAGGCACCCGAUGUCAUCUUUCUGAAGGAGACUCCAAGCUGCCCCCACCUCUGCGCUCCUUCCCUGAUCACGGAUGCUGUCAGCUCUCCCUCACCUGGCACUCAUCUGUCUCCCCCCCAGUCCACAUGGAGGGGACCCCUCGAUGUCCGUCCCUCCCUUCCCACCACCCCACCCACCGUCAUUUCCAGGCAGCAGUUGCUAGGGACCCUUGUGCCAACCCCGGGCACCCACUGGCUGCCUCUGCAGAAGUGGAUUUAAGGACACUGGUGGGGAGAGACCCCGCCAAGGCCACCAUCCACACUUCAACCUCUGCUGCUCCCCCAAACCCAGGCUCUUGAGAAUGUACUUGAGGAGAAGGCCAACCUUCCGGCGGGUCGUGAGUAGGGCUUCCUCGCUGCCUCCCUCCCCAGAUCCCCGCUUUUCCAUGCCACUGUCAGCAGCCGCCUCCAGGCUGAUGUCCCGCUGGAGCUCGUCCUCCUCCAGGGCCUUGAUACGGACCCGAUGGGCAUCCUCAGCCAACUCAUUGAGGCAGCCCUGGAGCAUGGUGUAGACGGUGCCGAAGCUGAUGCCACCAGCCACCAGUGUGCCGAACGUAGGGAUGCCCCUCUCAAAGGCACGGGCCACCUUCAUGGCGCCAUCGGCCGACGGUGAGUAGAGCCGCAGGACGGUCUCCGGCGAGACCUCGUUGGCUAGCAGGGAGCGGGUGACGGAGAGCAGGUCGCCCGGCUGCUUGCCCACCUGUUCGGCCAGCUUGGCCAGCGAGUCGUC